AUUGAACGCUGGCGGCAGGCCUAACACAUGCAAGUCGAGCGGAUGAAGGGAGCUUGCUCCUGGAUUCAGCGGCGGACGGGUGAGUAAUGCCUAGGAAUCUGCCUGGUAGUGGGGGAUAACGUCCGGAAACGGGCGCUAAUACCGCAUACGUCCUGAGGGAGAAAGGGGGGGAUCUUCGGACAUCACGCUAUCAGAUGAGCCUAGGUCGGAUUAGCUAGUUGGUGGGGUAAAGGCCUACCAAGGCGAAGAUCCGUAACUGGUCUGAGAGGAUGAUCAGUCACACUGGAACUGAGACACGGUCCAGACUCCUACGGGAGGCAGCAGUGGGGAAUAUUGGACAAUGGGCGAGAGCCUGAUCCAGCCAUGCCGCGUGUGUGAAGAAGGUCUUCGGAUUGUAAAGCACUUUAAGUUGGGAGGAAGGGCAGUAAGUUAAUACCUUGCUGUUUUGACGUUACCAAAAGAAUAAGCACCGGCUAACUUCGUG
rnacentral:rRNA from 1 species